GUUUUGAUACGAGAUGAUAUGCUCUACUGAAGUUCAAGGGUUCAAUUUUAGACUUUUCUGGUGUCUCUACGGGAUCAUUGUUCCUCAAUCGAGGUUUCUUGUGAUUCGAUUUGUCAGGUGGUGAUGUUGAAUAUUUGUCGAGCAAAGAUUUUUGAGUUAUGUAAUUGAGAUUGACUGGGUUAUUUAUUUCAUUUGUAGCUUAAGGUGUAGUGUUGUAUCAAGUGAUGGCUCGAAAUGUGCAACAAUGCCUGAAGUGAAAAUUCCUUUUGAUUUCUGAGCACACUUGAUACUGCUUUGGUAGUGACGCUACUUGGCUCUUCUUUGCCAACUUGCCACUCUAUUACUUUUAUGAAAUGGCUUCGCCCAAGAGAAUUAGCAUAUUCUGGAAUAGUAAUUGGAAUGAAAAAGGGAGUGAAACAAAGUCCAUUCUUUUAUGAAUUUAGGUAGGGAAAGUCGAAGAAGGUGCAAUAUGAAGGGCCCAAUGGAGACUUGGCUGCUAUACUUCAAAGGGAUGUCUUGGAGACCAAUCCUGGUGUCAGAUAGGAUGAUGUGGUUAGGUUGAGCGAAUCAAAAAGACUUUUAGAAGAAGCUGUGGUUCUUCCACUGUGGAUGCCUGAGUAUUUCCAGGUAUCAGAUAUUAGUUGAAGCUGAGUAAUUUACUUCGAUUUCGUUUAACCCCAUUGUUCCACAAAGUCAUCUGGAUACUUUGUAGUUUUAGUAUUCUAAAUAUGCCGUUGUUUUGUUACUAUGGAUUUUAUGAUGAAUGCCUACGAAAAUGAGUUCAUUAAGUCCAAUCCUGAUUUGCCUGCAAAAGUGAUUUUCAUUUACUUGUAUUGUUCGUACCCCAUUGUAUCUGGUAAAUUUAAUAAUUGAUUUUAGAAGAUUUUUAUAAUUUGCAUCAAAUUAAGAUUAAUAUGUUUUAAAAGAUGAAAACCGAAGAAUUUUAUUCCUUAGCAAUGAGAUCUCAGGUAAGAUGGAGAAACUAUAUUGACAAAUUAUUUAAAGAAAUGCAUAGCGUGAAUAUUUGGUGUUUGAUUAAGUCCACUAUAGAUAGGAAUUUUAUUAUACUAUAAGAAUCCAAUUUUUAUCGGGGAUUGAUUGUAUAAAGAGGACAAGGAUAACAAAAAAAUUGGCCUCGAUGGAAUUGGAAAUAUUUGAGCGAGGUGGGUA